ensembl:lncRNA
CAGGAGUGUACCCUGUCCUGCGUGGUCCCUGCACUGUCCUUCAGGAUUCCUGCAGGAUUUUUUUAUUUAUUUUUUUGUAAGGGAAGUUGAGACAUUUUUGAGUGUGGUCCUAGAGGGUGGGCUUUGGCAACACUGGGGUGGUUUUUCCAGGAUGCAGGGUAACAUGAAAAAAGGAAGGAUGUAAAAAAAGGCUGGAACAAACUCUUUCCUUGCAAUCUUGAAUUAUUCGGAGAAACAGAGAGAAGUGAGUAAGAGUAGUACUUUUUAAACUAUUUAUAGACAGUAACAUGAUCACUGUAGCGAACUUGUUUCCAGGGUCUGUUCUAGUGCUCACAUAUUUAUGGACGUGUAAAGAAUAUGUGUGUGGGUUGUAAUAGGCUUAUUAUAAAUUUUUUUGAGACUAUUCUCAAACAUUCCACCGAAGAUAGCAAAGUGACAGAAAAGAGAGCAGGCGGAUAGUAAUGAGAAAAGGAGAUUGGCUGAAUAUUGUAGAUAGUUUGUAAAGUACACUGUAUUGGUCCAAACCUGAGGAGUUUUUUCUACAUCGUGCGUGCAUCUCACUACACAACAACCAUUGCUCAUUGACACAAUCCUGACUGAGCCCUGCCCACAGAGAUUAUCACAGACAGACAUCGACGUAUUAGAAAUCCUCUAAGAGUUAACACCAAAGACAGCUUUCUGGAAAACAACAGGACAACACAUCACAGCCUCCAGUAACACCAGAGCCACAGCCCUCUCUACAGCAUCCCCAAUUCCGAGCUCAGACAAAAUGGAGGAACUGGUCCAUGCUGGAACCAAACUCUCCCACUCUAAUGCUGCAGGCCCCAAGAUAUCAACCAAAAAACAUCGAGCCCCGCAACCACCAGAGGCUCCUGUUGUGAUAACUCUCCAGCCGCUGCCACGACGCCAGGGCCCACCCCACCCUCCAUCUGCUAUGGAUGGGUUGCUUCAGGACACAGAGCAGCUGAAAAGUCAAGUUCUGACUGGUUUAGAGAUUCAGCAGGAGGACAUUCGAGGGCCGGUCUCUGAACUUCAGGCACAGGUGCUUCCAGACUUUCAAGACAGUGUUAUUGAAGACCCUGUGAAAAAGAGAGGGGUAGUGGACAAACAGGUGGUGGCGCUCGUGAAAACCUUUGAAGACUCCUCCAGUGACUCCCACAAAAGCAACAGCUCCAAGAACACCUCGCAGAAACGCAGGACCUGCUGCUGCUCCUGCUGCCCCAACUGCUGCAAAUGCUCCUCCUGCUGCCUCGACUGCUGCAGCUGUUCCCCCUGCUGCACCAACUGCUGCAGCUGCUCCCCCUGCUGCACCAACUGCUGCACCAACUGCUGCAGCUGUUCUCCCUGCUGCACCAACUGCUGCACCAACUGCUGCAGCUGUUCCCCCUGCUGCCCCAACUGCUGCAGCUGCUCCCCCUGCUGCCUCAACUGCUGCAGCUGCUCCCCCUGCUGCCUCAACUGCUGCAGCUUCUCCUCCUGUAUCCGCAGCCUCUCCUCCUGUAUCCGCAGCUGCUCCUCCUGCUGUAGUGGCUCCUCUUGCUGCAGCUGCUCCCCCUGCUGCACUUGCUGCUCCUGCUGCAAUUGCUCCUCCUGCUGCAAUUGCUCCUCCUGCUGCAAGUGCUCCUCUUGCUGCAAGUGCUCCUCUUGCUGCAGCUGCCUCAAAUGCUGCUGCUGCUCCUGUUGCCGCUGCCUCAAAUGUUGCUGCUCCUCCUGCUGCCGCUGCCUCAAAUGCUGCUGCUGCUCCUCCUGCUGCCACCGUAGAAAAUAG